rnacentral:rRNA from 1 species
GAAAUAAGAUUUUAAAUGAGUGCUAAGAGAAUGAUUAAACAAUUAAAAGCUUUCUUUAAUUAAAAAAUUAAAUUUAAUUUUUUAGUGUAAAAGCAAAAAUAAAAUUUAGGGACAAGAAGACCCUAUGAAUUUUUAUUGUUAAUAAUUAAAAUUUAAGUUAUUAAUAAUUUAAUUGGGGCGAUAAAAAAAGAAUAAGUAUCUUUUUAGUUAUAAAAUAAGUUCCGUUUUUAGCGAUUAAAUGAAAUAAAUACUCUAGGGAUAACAGCGUAAUAAUUUUGGAUAGUUCAUAUAGAUAAAAUAGUUUGCGACCUCGAUGUUGGAUUAGGAUUCUU